GCCCAAUCCAGUAGGCUCAAUGCCCUGAGCCGUAACCUUCUGGGUCACAGUGAUUGCUUUCACAUCAGACCCAGAAUCGGAAUUGUCCGCACCAUACUGAUCCAUGUAUCAAUGAUCAUACUCCUCCUCCAAACUCUGGUCCGAAUCGGACGAGUCCUCAUGGGCACGUUCUCGCUUACAUGAUCUGGCCAAUUUUGCCCGGCCAAGGG